ACCCUCCGGUUUCCUUUCCCAUCAGAUCACAACACUGGUCUUGGUGGUCAUAAAGGAGGGAGAGCAUGCUGAAGCUGGCCUCACAGCCUUGUUGUGGUCUGCUAUAAGCACGUGGGCUAGAUUCAAACAGGG
ensembl:snoRNA